CACAGGAGGGUUGAAACGCAGGCGAGCAGCGAGGUCCUUUCAAGCAGCGAUAAUGAAGAAAUCCUAACGCGAGAAGCAGUGAGUCAUCUUUAAUAUUGUUAUAAAGUCGGUGGCGAGAGCCCAUGGGGUUUCCAAGCGCUCACCCAAAGUUGGUGCUCCUCUGGAGAAUUGAAGACAUGGCGGAGAUUGUCCUAGCUUUAAGAUACAUGGUUUAUUCACUUAUUUACACCUUCAGUCUGCAUGGAAGGGGUGCAGAUGUUACAGCAUGGUCAUCGCAAGAGGGGUUUGCUCUCCACAGCAGUGCAACACUCCAGUCCAAGGUUCAAUCUCUCCUCAUUCUGUUGUUCCUCAAAACUAAGCCUCCUCUGUUCGGUUGCAUUCUAAGAGUCAGUUCUUUUGGUGCUUUGAUGUACUAAUAGCUAAUCCCCUCAGGUGCCACCUAACCAAGGAGUUCCGCUGACUUCAUCAGCACUUGCUGAUUGACUAGGAUUAAAGACUGGUACACAUUUAGGACAUUUACAUAGGUUAAUUAACUCUUCGAAUGCUAAUUAAUUACUGGUGCUCAGAAGUAGGUACACGCAUUCCAAAACACGUGGAUCUCGAUUACAUUCUCAAAGUCUGACACAGUCUUUACACAUAAACACUAAUUGAACACCUCAAACCCCUUGGCUGACUUCUUUCCAAGACACAUUGAGACUGCCUCAUAACAUCUCCCAGUUAUAACAUACAAGUUCUAAUUAUAUCCUAAUAUUCACCAUACCUAAACAUUUAGCACCGUGGAUCUAUUUACAAUUCAACGCUAGCAAACGCUCUCAACCAGACCCACCCCUCCCCCCCAAAAAAGGGCCCUCAAUUUUGUUAUGAGAAGAAAAUUGACCUAAUUCACAAUCCAUGGCCUAAUCAUUUAAUGGGGAAAGUUGUAAGAAGGAAAUGGAAAUGGUCAAAGUAAGUAUUAGUCCCUAUAAGAAAUAAGCUUCCCUUCUCCGCCACAGUAACCGAGCCUGCAGAAUAAUCGAGGGUGCAGUUAUUAAUGGUGUGAUUCUGACUCCGAAGUAAAUCCGACGGAUCUUCCUUCCAAAUCCACGUGGGAAGACACAGAGGUAAACUGGCAUGAAGAAUCAUCCAGCAAUGAAACUUCUAGCACAUUUGCAAAGCUAAGCAGGGUCCGGUAUGGUUUAAAAUUGGAUGAGAGGCUGCUUGUUGAGAUUAAUGCAUUGCAGAGGGCUGGACUAGAUGACCCUCGGGGUCUCUCCCAAUUCUACAAUUCUAUGAUUCUACCGUUCCAAAGGGCUUACUUUUGUGUAGGAGGCAGCCAGAGGAUCAAGGCAGCCUCCUCCUUCGAGAAACAGAGCACCAAGGGAACGUCUACCCCAUCCAUGCUUACUCGAAAGCCACACUGAAUCCAAUGGGGCUUACUUGUGAGUAAGUGUGUUUUAGGAAUGGAGCCUUCAGGAUUUAAAUUCUAGCCCAGCUCUGUGGCAAAAUCCAAGAGGAUUUAUUCUUAUUCUUUUUGGGUGGGGGGAGGGGAGGGGUAAACGUGAUUCGGAUUGGCACCUAUUCGGAUUGGUGGUCUCGUCCGCCCUCCGCCCUCCCCAAGGCAAUCAGUAUUGCUCGCACGCCCCUCCUAAUCUAAAUCUCAAUCACUGAACGGUAUUCAUUCCCGCGCGUUGAUUUGUGACUCGGCUCCAUUGAACGCAGCCGGAUUUGCUUACGGGUAAGCACGCGCAGAGAGGAUCGGGCCGGCAGCAGCAGGUGAGGUGCUGCCGUUCACUCUUAUGGAUCGGGCACCUUUGCAGUCCGUGGGUGCCAAGCUCGUUCCUCAGUAGGAGAAUUUCCAAGUGGAUUGGGCCCAACGUUUGAAAAAGCCUGGCUAGUACAAAGUGAUCAAGAUGCGUUGUUUAUGAAAGGCGGGCGGUGGUCUUUAUCUGCAGGCAAAUUGUAAAACGCCGAGGUGUGUGAAUAAUUAUAAUAUUUCCCAACAUGAAAAUAAGCCAGGCUUUGGAAGGGAUAAGGAAUUCGGAAGAGGGAGAGGAAACAAAUUUGCCAUUAAAAUUAGGCAUAUCCUCUCUUCAAAGAGGUUCUGCAUCCAUUUGUGAUUCCUCCUCAGAACACACACACACAUUCUUUUGAUUGAAACUGCGAUCCCGUAUGCUUUUUCUUGGGAGUAAUCUUUCCUCUCAAGGAUGCCAAUAGUUUUACAUCCCUGAAAUCACCGGGGUUGGAUCCUGAGUCACAACAGUGCCAUCCUCCUCAUGGAGGCUGAUUCUGAAGUCAGUCUUCAGGAAAGGGUGGCAAACGUUCCACCAAUUGUGGGAAUUGUCUUCCUUCCAAGUAGAUUCCACUGAAAUCCAGAUCACUGGCUUCCAAUAUAUUAAAGGUAAAGGGACCCCUGACCAUUAGGUCCAGUCGUGACCAACUCUGGGGUUGCGGCGCUCAUCUCGCUUUACUGGCUGAGGGAGCUAGCAUAAAGCUUCCGGGUCAUGUGGCCAGCAUGAUUAAGCAGCUUCUGGCGAACCAGAGCAGUGCACAGAAACGCCGUUUACCUUCCCGCUGGAGUGGUACCUAUUUAUCUACUUGCACUUUGACGUGCUUUCGAACUGCUAGGUUGGCAGGAGCAGGGACUGAGCAACGGGAGCUCACCCCGUCACAGGGAUUCGAACCGCCGACCUUCUGAUUGGCAAGUCCUAGGCUCUGUGGUUUAACCCACAGUGCCACCCGCGUCCCUUUCCAAUAUAUUGCUGAUUAUUAAAUGAUAACACUUAAGUUUCAAGGUAUGAAAGUCUAUUGAAAUCCACACAGCUUUUAUUUCAUCUGAAGGCCUCAAAUUGACACCAAUCUGAUCAUAGGACCAGGUUCUCUGCAUGUACAUGACCUGCAUGUCAAAUGGCUUAACCAGCUUGUGGAUCUGGCUUGCUUACACCACACACAGCCUGCGACACUCAGAAAGUUUGCUUUCUCCAUUGUGCCCACCACCAUCACAUAUCUUAGGCACCUAUUUACUCCAAAGUAAGCUCCAUUAAAUGGUAUUUGCACUGGCGUAAGGCUGCAAUCCUGAAAACAAGUGGGGCUUCUGGAAAAAAACAUGCAUAGUGUUGUGUGUUUUUUUAAGCAUUCCUUAAAGGCCUAUCCAGACAUCCUUUUAUUGUUCACGAUGAUUUGUGCUAUUGGGGUGGUUACACAUAUCCCACUUUCACUACACUUUGUACCUGCAGAGGUCACACUCCUUCCUUUCCAAUAAGCACAUAUCCAGUAACUUCCUGUUGAAAUCUCAUAACUUCCGGUUUAUUUUUGUCCUGCUUUCGUUACCCUAUAGCGGCCAUGUCCAACAGGUAGAUUGUGAACUACCGGUAGAUCACUGGACAUCUGUGGUAGAUCACUGGUAGAUCACUGGUUCCCCCAAAGAAGCUCAACAACUUUGGGUCCAUCCCCAAAGGCUCAAAAUUUUAGCUCUUCACCCCCCCAUGGGGUUUUCCUCCUGCGUCAAAAAAAUCUCAACAACUUUGACCUGAACCCCUAAAAAGGGGGGUAGAUCACUGCCAGUUUUUAACUCUGUGAGUAGAUCAGUCUCUUGGGAGUUGACCACCCCUGCCCUAUAGCAUGGGUAGGCAAACUAAGGCCCCGGGGGCCGGAUCCGGCCCAAUCGCCUUCUAAAUCUGGCCCGUGGACGGUCUGGGAAUCAGCGUGUUUUUACAUGUGUAGAAUGUGUGCUUUUAUUUAAAAUGCAUCUCUGGGUUAUUUGUGGGGCAUAGGAACAUGUUCAUUUCCCCCCUCCAAAUAUAGUCUGGCCCCCACAAGGUCAUAGAAUCAUAGAAUCAUAGAGUUGGAAGAGACCACAAGGGCCAGCGAGUCCAACCCCCUGCCAAGCAGGAAACACCAUCAGAGCACUCCUGACAUAUGGGUGGUCAAGCCUCUGCUUAAAGACCUCCAAAGAAGGAGACUCCACCACACUCCUUGGCAGCAAAUUCCACUGUCGAACAGCUCUUACUGUCAGGAAGUUCUUCCUAAUGUUUAGGUGGACUCUUCUUUCUUGUAGUUUGGAUCCAUUGCUCCGUGUCCGCUUCUCUGGAGCAGCAGAAAACAACCUUUCUCCCUCCUCUAUGUGACAUCCUUUUAUAUAUUUGAACAUGGCUAUCAUAUCACCCCUUAACCUCCUCUUCUCCAGGCUAAACAUGCCCAGCUCCCUUAGCCGUUCCUCAUAAGGCAUCGUUUCCAGGCCUUUGACCAUUUUGGUUGCCCUCCUCUGGACACGUUCCAGUUUGUCAGUGUCCUUCUUGAACUGUGGUGCCCAGAACUGGACACAGUACUCCAGGUGAGGUCUGACCAGAGCAGAAUACAGUGGCACUAUUACUUCCCUUGGUCUAGAUGCUAUACUCCUAUUGAUGAGGCCCAGAAUUGCAUUGGCUUUUUUAGCUGCCGCGUCACACUGUUGGCUCAUGUCAAGUUUGUGGUCAACCAAGACUCCUAGAUCCUUUUCACAUGUACUGCUCUCAAGCCAGGUGUCACCCAUCUUGUAUUUGUGCCUCUCAUUUUUUUGCCCAAGUGCAAUACUUUACAUUUCUCCCUGUUAAAAUUCAUCUUGUUUGUUUCGGCCCAGUUCUCUAAUCUGUCAAGGUCGUUUUGAAGUGUGAUCCUGUCCUCUGGGGUGUUAGCCACCCCUCCCAGUUUGGUGUCAUCUGCAAAUUUGAUCAGGAUGCCCUUGAGUCCAUCAUCCAAGUCGUUGAUAAAGAUGUUGAAUAAGACCGGGCCCAAGACAGAACCCUGUGGCACCCCACUAGUCACUCUUCUCCAGGAUGAAGAGGAACCAUUGAUGAGCACCCUUUGGGUUCGGUCAGUCAGCCAGUUACAAAUCCACUGAGUGGUAGCAUAGUCAAGACCGCAUUUUACCAGCUUCUUUACAAGAAUAUCAUGGGGCACCUUGUCAAAUGCCUUGCUGAAAUCAAGGUAGGCUACAUCCACUGCGUUCCCUUCAUCUACCAGGCUUGUAAUUCUGUCUUCUUAACGAGAUCAGGUUAGUCUGACAUGACUUAUUCUUCAGAAAUCCAUGCUGACUAUUGGUGAUCACAGCAUUCCUUUCUAGGUGCUCACAGACUGUUUGCUUAAUGAUCUGCUCCAGAAUCUUCCCUGGUAUUGAUGUCAGACUGACUGGGCGGUAAUUAUUUGGGUCCUCUCUUUCCCCCUUUUUGAAAAUAGGGACAACAUUUGCGCUCCUCCAGUCUGCCAGGACUUCACCUGUUCUCCAGGAAUUCUCAAAGAUGACUGCCAGUGGUUCUGAGAUCACAUCUGCCAGUUCUUUUAAUACUCUUGGAUGCAGUUCAUCUGGCCCUGGAGACUUGAAUACAUCUAAAUUAGCCAAGUAUUCUUGUACUAUCUCCUUAGUUAUUCUGGGCUGUGUUUCCUCUGCUGAAUCAUUUGCUCCAAAUUCUUCAGGUCGGGCAUUGUUUUCUUUAUCGGAGAAGACUGAGGCAAAGAAGGCAUUGAGGAGUUCAGCCCUUUCUGUGUCCCCUGUUUGCAGGGGACUGAGGGAGAGUGGACCGGCCCCCUGCCUAAAAAGUUUGCUGACCCCUGCCCUAUAGCCCCCGAUCCAGACAGCACAGGGGAACCAUCACAGAAUAAAUUCACCCCUAAUGCACCAUCUUUGUGACAAGAACAUAUUGCAGAAUAUACAGUGGUACCUCAGGUUACACACUCUGCUAACCCAGAAAUAGUGCUUCAGGUUAAGAACUUUGCUUCAGGAUAAGAACAGAAAUCGUGCUCUGGCGGCGCGGCAGUAGCAGGAGGCCCCAUUAGCUAAAGUGGUGCUUCAGGUUAAGAACAGUUUCAGGUUAAGAAUGGACCUUCGGAACGAAUUAAGUACUUAACCUGAGGUACCACUGUACGGGCAAUGGCACCCUAUUCUGGAGGGGUCCUUAUAUUGCAGAGGGUUGGACUAGAAGACCCUCAUGGUCCCUCUCUGUGAUUCCAAGUCAGACCCUUGUUCCAUCUAGCAGCACAUUUUCUACAUUGACUGGUAGGGGCUCUUCAGAGUUUCAGGCAGGGAUCUAUCUCUCCCAGCUUCACCUGGAGAUGCCAGGGAUUGAACGGGUGAUUUCCUGCAUGCAGGGCAGGUUCUCUACCCCUGAGCUAUGCUUCAUCUUUAAUUUCUGUUGCACCUAGUGGAAUUCCAUCUUCUCCACAACUAUUAAAAGUGUCCUACUGGCAGAUCAAUCCAACACAGCUAAGCUCCUGUUGCAAGAGGAGCUGGGCUGCCCAUCUUUAGGAUUAGGAGACAAGGCUGCCGCCUCAUGGUUUCCAUGCAGGAUGAGAUACAUGGCAUGGGACGUUGAAGACGGGCCUUUUUGGUGUUGGCUCCUUGCAUGUGACGCUCCCUCCCUGCUGAGGUGUAUCUGGAACCAUCUCUCUAUAGUUUCAGGUGGCUGGUUAAGAGCACUUUGCUCCUCAGGCCGUUGUUCGAGAACAGGCCUGAUUGGAUCAGUGGAUUAGAUCCUGUUGUUGUUAGUACAGUGAUACCUUGGGUUAAGAACUUAAUUCAUCCUGGAGGUCCGUACUUAACCUGAAACUAUGGUUAACCUGAAGCACCACUUUAGCUAAUGGGGUCUCCCACUGCCACCGCCGCACAAUUUCUGUUCUCAUCCUGAAGCAACGUUCUUAAUCCGAGGUACUAUUUCUGGGUUAGCAGACCAGUGGUUCUCAACCUAUGGGUCCCCAGAUGUUGUUGGGCUACAACUCCCAUCAUCCCUGAGCUCUGGCCUUGCUAGCUAGGGGUGAUAGGAGUUGUAGUUCAACAACAUCUGGGGAACCACAGGUUGAGAAAGACUGUGUGUAACCCAGUGGCGUAGCGUGGGUUGUCAGCACCCGGGGCAAGGCAAGUAAUUUGCGCCCCCUAACCCGUGGAUUUUAGCAUGCCCCCCAGUGCGCCCCCCCAGAUGUUGCACCCGGUGCGGCUGGCCCCCCCUGCACCCCCCACGCUACGCCACUGGUGUAACCUGAAGCGUCUGUAACCUGAGGUACCACUGUAAAUGCUUUUUAGUGACUUGUUGGUGAAUUUAAAGUUUGUGUUAUUUUAUGGAUUUUUUUUUUAUUAAAAGGAUAUUAUUUGAUGUAAACCACCCUAGGGUUUAUGACAAGGGUGGUAUACUGUAUAAGUAAGUAUGUAAAUGGCACAAGGAGGGAGCCUUUUCUUCCAUGUAAACAUGUAAGAAGAAAGUGCCAAUUGAUUUAGAUUCAAAGCUGCAUGUUUUAAGCUGCAUGUUUUAUGUUCGGGGUAUGGAGACAGACAAGCUCUCCAUAUUUUAAAAAGAAGGUGGACUUAAAUGGAAACAUUCUGUUAAAAAGCAGAAUGGACUCAUAACAAGAAUAUAGUCCCCCAACUUUUCAGCAGAACAGGCCUCAGUCCAACAAACUUGGUGUUAAAAAGGCAUAGAAUCUUAGAUCUGAAAGGGUCAAAUGUGGCCAUCUAGCCCAACCUGUAUAGUUAAAGCUCUGAUUUUCCCAGUAGUGAUGUAUGGAAGUGAGAGCUGGACCAUAAAGAAGGCCAAAGAAUUGAUGCUUUUUAAUUAUGGUGCUGGAGGAGACUCUUGAGAGUCCCAUGGACUGCAAGAAGAUCAAACCUAUCUGAAGGAUGCUGAAGGAAAUCAGCCCUGAGUGCUCACUGGAAGGACAGAUCCUGAAGCUUAGGCUCCAAUCCUUUGGCCACCUCAUGAGAAGAGAAGACUCCCUGGAAAAGACCCUGAUGUUGGGAAAGAUGGAGGGCACAAGGAGAAGGGGACGACAGAGGAAGAGAUGGUUGGACAGUGUUCUUGAAGCUACCAGCAUGAGUUUGACCAAACUGCGGGAGGCAGUGGAAGACAGGAGUGCCUGGCGUGCUCUGGUCCAUGGGGUCACGAAGAGUCGGACACGACUAAAUGACUAAACAACAACAAGCCCAACCAAUGCAAAGCAGGAGGACAACUCAAAAAUCCAUGGCAGAUGAUCAUCCUAGCUCUGUUUAACAACUUCCAGUGAAGGAGAGUCCACCGUCUUCCAAGGUAGCCCAUUCCAGUGCAUGCAGGUUUACUCUGAAGGAAGUCCCAUGCAGUUGAAAGAGAAGUUAAUCAUGAGAAAAACUGUAAUCCUGUACACAUCAGGUUUACCUGUGAGUAAGUCUCAUUGAACUGAAGAAGACUUAGUUCUGAGCAUAGACGUGUAUAGGGCUGCAGUUCUUAUAGCUCCAAAAUCAUUCUUUUUUAAAGCUCCUAUCUUUUGGGGGUUCUUGAUUAGGGUUUUGGUUUUAUCACCCACCUACCAGAAGAUUCAGGGCAACUUGUUGCAAUUUAUGCUCCAGUCCUAUAAUCCAUUGCCUGGGAAUAAGCCCCAUUUAACUCAGUGGGGUUUACGUCCGAGUAAGGCUGCAUCAUUCAAGGGCUUAGAAUAAAAACGGGCUUCAUAAGCGGACCCAGGAAGAGGGAAGGGUGGGGGAACCAGAAUGCUAAAGUAUUGAACUAAUGUAGUCGAAAACUAAAUAAAUGUUUAUUUCCAUCCGAAUUUGCCAUAAAGUGUUAUUUUUAUUCCGAAUGACGCUGUGACGAUCUCCCCAGCAACACAGGAAUACGUAUUAGAAAUAGUGGAAUCUUGCAGCCUCGACCAUUCAAAUUGAGUCCUAGUGAUAUGAAUGGGAUUUGUAUAUUCUCGGCAGUUAAAGGCGUCUCCCGUUUUCCCUUUCUAACGUUAAACCCCCACCUACAUCUUCGCUACAGGGGAAGCCUCGUGGGUGUCCGAUUCUUAACAUGCGCCACAAAGUCAAGGGCCAGCUGGUGUAAUGGUUACAGCAUCGUUCUAGGACUUAGGACCAUCAAUUGGCAAGCAUUGAGAAUGCAUAUCCCCUCCCCUCUCUCCACCCCAUUGCCUCCAUAAAACAACCCGGACCGAGACUAUGAAAGAAGACGUCAAAUAGCUAGGGAGUUGUUAAUACGCAUUCUGCCCGGUAUUAUUGGUGAGCCGGAGAACGUACGCAUGGUUCUCUAGAAACUCAUCCCUUGAUUGUAUCCAGAUAAAUUAUUAUAUUUAUCUGGAUGGAAAGACGGAAUAUGAUACCUGACAGACUCAACUCCCCAGCGGUUACUCAGAAGUAAAUCCUACUAUUUAUUUAUUUUUUAAGUCUGGGCACAGGAUGGCAACCCAUUCAGGCCGAUGGAACCAUGCGACACAAUUCCUACAUAUAAUUUUUAGAAGGCGGUAUGUCGCAGGGACAGCAGCAGCAUUUACUCUGGAGUAAACUUAGCAAAAGCUGCACGCGAAGCCUGCCUAAUGCCAAUUAGAACUGGGAAGGACAUCCACUUCUGUUCAGAUCCGGCUUACAUAAGGUGUGGAUCGCCCGGUGUCAUCCUUUUGUGACUCCCCUCCUCAUACAUAGCUAGCGCGCAUCUGUCAAGAGGCACGGAUUUUUCCUCUUAUAUUAUAAUAAUAAUAAUAAUAAUAAUAAUAAUAAUAAUAAUAAUAAUAAUAAAUUUAUACCCCGCCCAUCUGGCUGGGCUUCCCCAGCCACUCUGGGCGGCUUCCAAAAAAAUAUUAAAAUACUGUAAUACAUCAAACAUUAAAAGCUUCCCUAAACCUUCAGAUUAUUAUAAAAGUCUGGUAGUUGUUUAUUUGUUUAUUGACAUCUGGUGGGAGGGCGUUCCACAGGGCGGGUGCCACUACCGAGAAGGCCCUCUGCCUGGUUCCCUGUAACUUGGCUUCUCACAGGCAGGGAACUGCCAGAAGGCCCUUGGCGCUGGACCUCAGUGUCCAGGCAGAACGAUGGGGGCGGAGACGCUCCUUCAGAUAUACUGAUAUACAGAUACUCUUGAUUCUCCCAACCCCACACAGUGCCUCAGCCCCCUCCCCGCCCCAUCGCUCCACCCCGCCUUUCCCCUUCUGUCACGGAGCCUACCGUUUGCAUGGGAGCGAGAAGGCAGGGCUCCCCGCUUUGCCUCGGACUCCGUGGCACUUUAAUCAAUGCUUCUAGCCGGGCGGACGUGAAUUUCUCGCACGUCAUCGGAUCUCCUCCUCCAGCUAAUUGAUUUAAAUGGCUUAUCGGUUAAAGCAGCGGGCCUCCCUCCCUCCUCGGGUGAUCUAUUAGCAGGGAAGAAUGUCCCCCCCCUCAAUUCCUUGCUACUUGAGUCCUAUCACGACACAAAAAUGGCAAUGAAUGCAAGGGAAAGCUCUGGGUGGAUGUUUUCGUGUAUAUAUGUUAAAGAAAUGUCCCUGCUCUGGGAGUGGUGUGCGUGUGAAUAAGGCUGGUAGUGGGUCUUUGUAUCUCUGCAGGUCUCACCUGCAUUUGCUCCCUCGCUAUAAACCGAUCUUUCCAUGGGUAUCACCUAAUAAUAAUAAUAAUAAUAAUAAUAAUAAUAAUGGAAGUGGGAGUCUUUCAAGGAGCACCAGUGCCCUUCUUCCUUCAACUGGGCAUACUGGUCUUUGGACACCAAGCUUGCUCCUAUCUGAAUAGUUCUAUCGCGGCUGUAGCUGUUUUCUAGUGGCACCAGAUAACGCUCAAACCGGCAAUUAUGUUGAUCCGGGGCUGUUGCGCAACAAACCCUCUUCCCGCCCCCGCAAAAAGAUUUGACUUCUAGCGGUAAGGGAAGUGAUGGGGAAAUGUGGAGGAAAGUGGGAGACGCCACCUUACGCAAGCUCCCUGCAAACAAAUCUGAAGGCGUGCUCCGUAGAUGACCAGCUUCUAUCUAACCUCUCUGCAAACAAAUCAGGAAGAAUGCGCAAUAAGCAGAUCUACUGGGAGCUGCCUACCCAACGUAAGACCCUUUGCAGGCCUGAGGCAAGAAACAAUUCUUUUUUGAGGGGCCAUGGUCGUGGCAGUCCUUCCUGCUAUUAUUAAGAAUCUACAGAGCUAUGCAAGACUGUAUCCUGAACAAGGGCUCUAUAAACAUCGUUGCAAAAAGCUCGGAUCGCUUUUCUUCUCACUCUUACGUCUUUUAUCCUUGGACCCCAUACAUACUAACUGCAACCCCAAGCACACUUGCUCGGGAACAAGUCCUACUGAACUCAGCGGGAGUAAACGCGCUAAACCUUUUGCCCUUUUAAUAUCCCAUGGAAGUGGGUGGGACGUACUUGCUUCCUGAGAAGGGUCACUCUGCUCAGUUCAACGCGUUGCGCAAUUCAGUUUACUCAGAAGCAAAUCCCCCUGUAUCGAGAGGAACUUGCUCCUCAGCUAAGAGCGGCUAGGAUUGCAGCAACCCUAGACAUGGCGAUGGAGGAAAGAUCCGAUUGAGUUCAAUGGGGAUUACUCGCAAGGAAGCGGUUGUACUUAGGAUUCCAGCCUAAAUUGUUGGUUGCGUUGCUCACCCCUCUGCGGUGUGAAUGAACCUGCGUGGGCUGGGGUUGGGGUUGGAGAGGGUCCAUUCUGCUUUCUGCCCGUCACAAAUAGUACUUCCCACUCGGCUCCUGCCCGGCUUUCAGCAUCCUCGUCUGCUACAGAGCUCAGAAGGGUCGUAAGCUAAAGCGGCUGGCAAUCUCAACUAUUGGCUUUUAAUUAAAGCGCACAGGGCUCCAGUGUACGGAAGGAACCAGCUACUUAGCCAAGCAGGCGCUGACAGGAUCAAAGCGGGCUGGAAUCCUGUGCAACCUUGCGCGUGAGUAAAACCUUUGAGAAACGGCGGUAUUGAAUGCUGCGCAAACACGUGGAAGAGUGUGUUGGCAGUAUUCAAGAAAAACAAACGCAGGGCGUUAGAACACAGAGUUGCAAAUAUCCCCUCCUCUCUCUUCGGUAUUAGAUCAGCCGUGGGGCAACUGUGGCCCGCCAGGUGAUGCUGAACUACAACUCCCAUCAUCCCUUGCCAUUGACCAUGCUUGCUGUGCAUGAUGGGAGUUGUAGUUCAGCAACAUCUGGAGGGCCAAAGAUUCCUCAUCUCUGUCUUCUUGACCACCAAACUAUAGUCUCCAUUGGCAUCCCAUCAAAUUUUAUUUUUAUUAAAAAAAUUAAGAGCACUUGAGAGUUUGGGAGGGUGGUUUGUAUGGAUGGGCCUACUUGCUAUUAUUAUUAUUAUUAUUAUUAUUCUAUGGGGGCAGUAUUGCCUGCCAUUUUGCCUGUUUUAUUUGUUUGGAGAAGUAUGUGUGUUUGCCUGAUUAUUGCGUCUCCCCCUCCUGCCACCAGGACAUGAAUAUUUUGUGAUGCCCACAACAGUUUCUUAGCUUUCCCAAAUGUGGAGAAAAUCUGUAGCCAAAAUGCCAAUUUACGCUCACUGUAGAAGAGUAAGAAGGGGUUAAGAUUCACAGAGAGCUGAAUUCCUAAAGAGAAUAACCUCUGUGAUGUCAUUCUCUUGAAUUCUGUGAUGGGAAACUUAAAAGGAUUUUAAUUCAGGAAAGAUCUAAACCUCAUUCAAGAAGGACUGGGGAGAUAAAUUGAGUUUAAUAUAUCCCCUCCUACUUAUCAAAAUCCACCCAAUACCAAAUGUGCCUCCAUGUGCCGCAAGAUUGGGGGCUCCUGUCUUAGCUUAACCUACCUCACAAGGUUGUUGUGAGGAUAAGAGGUUGGUGGUGGAAGGAAGGAUGACCUGUAGAGUUGACCUGACAGAAGGUUGGGAUAAAAUUUCAGUCGAUAAAUAAGAAGAUCGUAUAUUUUCCUUACCUAACAGGACCUAACCAAAGCAGUCUGGAGAUUCAGACAUGAAGAUUUAAACAAUAAGAUAAGAUAAAACUUAAUUCACUUUAGCCAAUGGCCAUAGCAACAGUAAAACAUUACAGUAUAUGCAGAAAAGGAAAUUUGAUAUAAGAGCACAAUUUAAAGUCCUGAAUUAGCCAUCAGUUAGUGGCCCUUACUCUGAUUGCCCCUGCUAUGAACCUAGCAACCUUUGCUGUUAUCUGCUCAUUUUGAUCUGAUAGAGGAAAGGACAUUGUGGCAGUGGUUGAGCGCCCUGGGAUGGUUAGUACGAGUGGGGUGAUGAUCUCGUUCCUCAGGUCUUUGUAGAGAGUACAGGACAGGAGGACAUGUGCCGCUGUUUCGGUGCUACCAUCUCCACAGGGGCAAAGACGUUUCUCAGGCGGGAUCUUUUGGAAUCGACCCCCAAGUACUGCAGAUGGCAAAACAUCCAGUCUUGCAAGUGUAAAAGCACGUCUGCAUUUUGGGAUAAGAAGUUUGUGCAGAUAUGGGGCCAGAGAAUCAAAAUGGAGAGGUGGAAACUGAACAUACCAAGGACAAAAUUUCCUUAUAGUGGCCGGGUUGUUCUGAUGCUCGAUAUCUUUUAGACGUUGACCAAUAAGAUUGUUUGCUUUAGUGGGGCCCAUAGUGAGUAGGUGUUGUGGGGACAGGCCACAAGAGUGAAGUUUUUGCUGGACGGUUUUAAGCCAGGCACUUUUAUGGGAGUCUUGAAGUAUUAGGGAUAGUAAACCUGGGGGAUUUGAGUUUAGCCGGAGCCAGAAGUUAAGAGUUCUUUGCCAAGUCCAUACUUCUACUGAAGGGAGAUUUAAAGAAUGAUUAAAUAGCAGGAAGAACUUUCUGACAGUAAGAGCAGUUAAACACUGGAAAGGACCCCCUCUGGAGGUUGUGGACUGUCCUUCAUUGGAGGUUUCUAAGCAAAGAUUGGGUGGCCAUCUGUCACGGAUGCUUUAGUUGAGAUUCCUGCAUUGCAGGGGGUUGGACUAGAUGACCCCGGGUCCCUUCCAACUCUACAACUCUACAACUCUACAACUCUAUGAUUUUAUGAAUAGAACCUUGGAGAAAAUGUUGAUUUAGGAACAUGGGCAUAGCCAGGAUUUUUGUUGGGGGGGAAAGGCCUCAAUUUGCUAUGUAUUUUUUGUAUUUUUAAUUAUGGGGGGGGAGAGAGCUGCCCCUCCCCAUCCCCCCUAGGCUACGCCCAUGCUUAGGAAUCCUCUCCAACUUUUCUUGGUUGGAUCUGUGUGAGAUCCAGGUGCAAAUUCCUUUUCAUUCACAAAUUCUAUCCUCCUUCCCAUUUCUGCUCUGCAGUCAAUAAUCUAAUCAGCAAAAGCUUCUGUACCAACAGUCGCUGAAAUAGAUUUGAAUUCUUGACCUCAUAAUAAUGCCCUGAAAUCAGCGCUUGUCAUUCGAUUAAAGAAAUCUUACUGCUCAACCUUUAAACAUGGCUGGUCCCACUGUGUUCCACAUGACGCACUUCUAGGAAAAUGCGUAGAAAAUUGCAACCCAGGUUGAUUUCCCCAUGCUAUUAAUGGAUCUAUUAGCUAAAUUUGUGGGUUUUGCAGCCAAAUCACAAAUGAAUGUUUUGCUAGACAAGCACAGGGCUAGUACACAGAGAGUUAUGAAAGUUCCUAGAGAGGACCCUCUGUGUGUGGCCACUUCCUUUCUUUCCUCUGGGAGGGGAUUCAUACAAUUCCUUCUGCCUUUGAGGAGACUCUUUUCCCACCAUAUUCCCAUGUUACGCAGAUGGGGGCUCCAGAUACACUCACCCCCUUUUGAGAUGACCAACUUUUAUUUUACUGUAACUUAGUGGCAUUUUUCUGCAUACUGCUUUGUAAGCAAACCAUUUUGUUGUUGUUGUGUUUACUUUACUAAAACGUGUGGUUUGUUCUGGGGGUGGGGGAGAAGACCAGAAAAAGGGGGUGAAAAGGUAUAACUGCUUUAGUAAGCUGCAAAAUGUAUAAGUGUUUUUACUUUGCUAAAAAGGUGACACAGCCCGUUUAUUUUUUGCAUUUCUCCCAUGAGUGUGGGCUAGGAGGUUGAGCUAUGUGAAGAAGUGUGUAUACACAUGAAAGCUCAUACCUAGAAAGCUUAUACAGUAUCUAGUUGGUCUUUAAGGUGCUACUGGAAUUAUAAUUUUUUUUUUGAAAGAUCCUUUUAAAGACUGUCUUAAGACAAAAAGACUUGAUUCUCUUAAGGGAGUUCUUUUUGGAUCAUCUAUCUAUAUCUGUCUAUCUAUAUCUAUCUAUCUAUCUAUCUAUCUAUCAUCUAUCUAUCUAUCUAUCUAUCUAUCUAUCUAUCUAUCUAUCUAUAUUUUGAGAGUCCCAUGAACUGCAAGAAGAUCAAACCUAUCCAUUCUGAAGGAAAUCAGCCCUGAGUGCUCACUGGAAGGACAGAUCCUGAAGCUGAGGCUCCAAUACUUUAGCCACCUCAUGAGAAGAGAAGACUCCUUGGAAAAGACCCUGAUGUUUGGAAAGAUGGAGGGCACAAGGAGAAGGGGACGACGGAGGACGAUAUGGUUGGACAGUGUUCUUGAAGCUACCAGCAUGAGUUUGACCAAACUGCGGGAGCCAGUGGAAGACAGGAGUGCCUGGCGUGCUCUGGUCCAUGGGGUCACGAAGAGUCGGACACGACUAAACGACUAAACAACAACAACAAUCUGUCUAUCAUCUAUCAUCUAUCUAUCUAUCUAUCUAUCUAUCUAUCAUCUAUCAUCUAUCUAUCUAUAUCUAUCUAUCUAUCAUCAUCUAUAUCUUUCUAUAUCUACUGUAUAAAAAAUCUUUCAUCUUGUUACCUGUUUGUAUAUGUUUGAAACUUUAAGCCUAAAACCUGCCUUCAGGGAAUCACACUGUGCUCUGCCUGAUCACGAGUAAAACUACUUUUUGUUACUUAUGAAUAAGACUGUAGUGUCUUUAUUCUUUUAGGAGGGAUUCAAAGAGUCUUACCAGGAAUACAUUAGAACACAUUUCAAUCUGGAAAAGCCAGAUUGAAUUGCAUAUUGUCUUAAGAAACUCACAUGGGUUUGCAGCUAGUUUUCUGCAGUGCGUGAGAAGGGGAGUGUAAACUCUGCUAAGUAAAGGAACUUGCUAGCGCAAGUUAGGAAGGAUAUUAAUAAACAGUAUAUCCUCUCCUGCCACCUGAACAUUCCCACAUGAGGUUGUUUAAGAUCAGAGCUAAUUUAGUAGUUAAUGUAUGGGUUCAACCAACGUAUGGGUCAUACUGCAGACACCACCAUGCAUUUUAGCAAGUUCUGAGGUUGAUCCAGUCUUGGAUUUUGGCCACAAACCUCCAUUUCAAUAUCUGGUGGGUAACAAACCCAAAGGAAAAGGCAUCCAUCAAUGAAGAAUCUUUGUUCUUUCUAGUUAAUUUUAUAGUUUUUAAAGACUCCCUUGACUGAAAUGGUCACUAGGCAUUUUAUUAACAAUAAGAAAAUGUAAAACAAAAUCCGCAAUAAAUGAAAAGAUUAAAAUCAUUCUCAUAUAUUGCAUAGCAGCAUCAUAAAAAUGACACAACCCAUCAGCCCCUAAAAACCUGGCAAAAAAUAUGAGCUUUUGCCUGGCAUCAAAAAGAGGUUGGGACAAGAUGCACUUCAGUUGGAAGCUUCUUCCACAGACAUGGAGCCACCACCAAAAAGGCUCUGCUAUGGAUCCCCACACUACACACCUCAUUUAACACAGGGACCACCAAGAGAGUUUCUUCCACAGUUAAUGUAGAAAGGGGUUCAGUUUUCCACAUCUGAUUUGGUUCGUACAUGCAUGUUCACCACUUGUUCACUGCAACAUCAAGUGAUAACUUGCAUGUAUGAACUAACCUGGAUAGAGCUUUCCUGUGUCCAACCAGCCGCUCAAAACACAACACUUUUCAACAGAGGCAAUUCAGACAUUUGGAAAAGGGACAUCAAGGACACAUUCAAGCAAAAAUGUAGCUGAAAAACCUCAGUAGGUGGUGAGAAAACAGGAAGCUUAGGGACAAUGCCCUGAGCAGUUCUUAGGGUGCAAUUAGAGGUGGAACCCAAACAUUUAUGGCAAGUCCAGGAUGCAAUCAAAUGUUUUCAGAACUCUCACUAUCUUUUUAACAGGGCUGGCCCUACUUUUGGGAAAAGUGAGUCAGCUGCCUCAGGCUGCAGAUACCAAGGGGAGCAGCAGCUCCUAGUCCUUGCCCCCCGUCCCCAUAGCUAGCCUGAUGUCCUCAAAUACAGUGGAAGAUGUUCCUUUGUCAGUGUUCAUGUAAGAUUCAAUGGUCAAUCCAGUUGGAUUCUGACGUCUAAUGGAAUACUUCUCCCAUAUUCUCCUUUGCCUCAAGCAACUAUCUAACUUUUAGAAGACAUCUGAAGGCAGCCCUGUUUAGGGAAGUUUUUAAUGUUUGAUGUUUUAUCGUGUUUUUAAUAUUCUGUUGGGAGCCGCCCAGAGUGGCUGGGGAAACGCAGCCAGAUGGGUGGGGUAUAAAUAAAUUAUUAUUAUUAUUGUUAACCGAAGGCCAACUAGUCCUGAUUUGGGAAGUAUUCUCAUCCUUGCUUUCCUGGUCUGAAAACCAAAAAUAAUGGCUGGAAUAGUUUUCUCCUUGUUGACAGCAAACCUUAUUCCACACGUGCGAAUAUAUGUGGUUAGGCCAAAUCUGUAUAUUUCUUCUGCUCUCAGAAACAGAAGGAGUGUGUGGCACAAAUUGGACAUAAGUAUUCUGUGUUGUGCAGGAGUGUGGACUACGUCCAGAUAAAAAAGUAUUGAUGUAUUCUGUUUAUGGACUUGGGUGCAGUCACACAUGCUCGUCACGGGGCUCUUAAGUAUUAUCUCCUCCACCAACCACACAAACACAGUCUUUGACCAACUGUAUGAAAAGUUCCCUAUGGCUGGUUCAGACUGUUAGGUCCAGUCACCAGUGGCGUAGCGUGGGUUGUCAGCACCUGGGGCAAGGCAAGUAAUUUGCGUCCCCUAACCCGUGGAUUUGCGCCCCCUAACCCUAACCCCCAGAUGUUGCGCCCGGUGUGGCCGGCCCCCCCUGCACUCCCCACGCUACGCCACUGCCAGUCACGGACGACUGUGGGGUUGCGGCGCUCAUCUCGCUUUAUUAGCCGAGGGAGCCGGAAUACAGCUUCCGGGUCAUGUGGCCAGCAUGACUAAGCCGCUUCUGGUGAACCAGAGCAGUGCACGGAAACACCGUUUACCAUCCCGCCAGAGCGGUACCUAUUCAUCUACUUGCACUUGAUGUGCUUUCGAACUGCUAGGUUGGCAGGAGCAGGGACCGAGCAACGGGAGCUCACCCCGUCGCGGGGAUUUGAACCGCCGACCUUCUGACUGGCAAGUCCAAGAGGCUCAGUGGUUUAGACCACAGCGCCACCCGUGUCCCUGGGAUGUAUAUGAUAACCACCUGAUAAUCAUUUAACAUCAGCUGAAGCUGUGCAAACAUAAAUCGGUUAUUGCAGGAACGACAUUGCAGGAGGAGCUUGGAUAUCACUUCACAUUGUCUCAAACCCAGUGCUAUUCAAUUCUGCUUAUUCAUACAUUGAGAUAUCACCAGCCAUGAAGGCCUAGCUCAUGCAUCCUUCCAUGGACAGGACACCACAGAUUUAACAUCACAGAUGAAACUUCCAUCAUGUUUCAUGUCACCUACAAGAAAAGGCCUUUUCAGUGAGUCCAUUAAUACAUUUCAUACAGGUACGGAUGGUAAUUUGUGGCCCUGCAGAUACUGUGUGACAAUUGUCCACAUCAACCCUGACCAUUGGCCAGGCUGGCUGGGGUUGAUGUUGUGGGAAAAUCUGCAGCCAAAAUGAUAAUUUUUGUUUGCUGUACAAGUGUGUGAAGGGGUCAAGAAUCACAUUGAGAUGAAUUCCUAGACAGAAAACUUCUGUGAUGUCAUUUUCCUUGAACUUAUUUAGUGGGAAACUUAAAUGAAGGAUUUAAUCCUUAGCAUUUCCUCCUUGCUUCGGAUCAUUUUUCAUUAGCCUGAUGAUGGAGAUGGGUGUGUUGUUUGCUCUGUUGGAGAGCAAACAUUAUCUUAGCACAUUUUAAUAUGUAGGAAGUAACUAGUAUGUAUCACUGCCUGUCUCAUAUUCUUCACUGUACGAUGCUGAAUCCUGGCAAGACUUAAAUGUAAGUAAACUUAUUUUCUAAUAUAUGUAGUAAUACACAGUCUGUUGCCCGAUCAUUUUAUAGGAGGGAAAUUGUGAUAAGUGUAUUUAAGGCUAAGCAGCAUAGUCUCAAGUUUCUUUUUAUUCUGCAAAGGAGUGUUUAAACUCAGAAUAAGAUCUAAACCUCACUCUGCUGAGACUGGGGAGAAAAAUUAAGUUUACUAUAUCCUCUUCUACUUUUUAAAAAUUCAUCCAAUAGGUGGAAAUUGGAAUCCAACAACAUCUGGGGGGCUGUGAGUUCCAAACCCCGAUUUAAGGGCUAAUCACCAAAUAUUAAGCAAUUGCAAUGGAGGAUCCAGUGAUAGAUACUCUCAUGUCAACCUGGUGCGAUGUUUUCAAGACCAAUAUGCCACAGAUAAUCAAGGAUCGCAAAAACACUCCAAAUGGAAAGAUGCAUUUUAAAUAAUCAGAAACAGCCAGUUCCAAAUCUUUCUAUAAAAAUCUUAUUUCUAUUUCUAUGGGACUCUCUCUCUCUCUCUCUCUCUCUCUCUCUCGUUUAACUCACCACUAAUCCCACCCAGUGGCGUAGCAUGGGUUGUCAGCACCCGGGGCAAGGCAAGUAAUUUGCGCCCCCUAACCCGUGGAUUUUAGCAUGCCCCCCAGCGCGCCCCCCCAGAUGUUGCGCCUGGUGCGGCCGGCCCCCCCUGCACCCCCCACGCUAUGCCACUGAUCCCACCAAAGGUUUCCCUAAAGCUCUUAUUGAUGCUGAAAUGCAACCUUUGGGGAGCUGGCAGUAACUUGACAGAAUGUCAUCUCUGCUGUGUGCACAAAAUCCCUUUGUUUUACUGCAGUAAUUCAUCUAGAAUGACAUCCCUACCAAGUUUUAAACCAUGUUACAAGGAAACCUCCAUCGAACACCUCGUUUUAUGUUUUUGUUCUAAAUUACAGAAGAUGGAUGAAGGAAUCUGUGUGACCUGAAACAUACUGCCUACAAAGCCGAUGCCCACAUUUGCCCUCUUAUUUAUUAUUACAUUUAUAUCCCACCUCCCCGCCACCCCCCAAGGAGACAAGUUCACAUUCAUGGUCCCCAUCCCCCCAUUUUAUCAUCACUAAAGCCCUGUGAGGUAGGUUAGACUGAACAACAGUGCCUGGCCCAAGGUCAUUAGAGAUACAAAUCUCAGAGUUCCCUGGGAAGAGUGGUUUUUUAAUAUAUAUACAACCACAAUGAGAACUGUAGCUCUGUGAAGGGAAUACGGGUCUCCUAACAACUCUAAGGGACGCGGGUGGCGCUGUGGGUUAAACCACAGAGCCUAGGGCUUGCCGAUCAGAAGGUCGGCGGUUCAAAUCCCCGUGACGGGGUGAGCUCCUGUUGCUCGGUCCCAGCUCCUGCCAACCUAGCAGUUCGAAAGCACAUCAAAGUGCAAGUAGAUAAAUAGGUACUGCUCCGGCAGGAAGGUAAACGGCGAGUAAAGCGAGAUGAGCGCCGCAACCCCAGAGUCGGUCACGACUGGACCUAAUGGUCAGGGGUCCCUUUACCCUUUACCCUUUAACAACUCUAAGCACCCUUGACAAACUAUAGCUCCCAGGAUACUUCGGCGGAAACCAUGACUUUUAAAUGUGGCAUGAGACUGCAGGCAGGGCCUUACAGGAGCGAAUGAGCUAUCUCUGAUCAAGCUCUUUGCACAGAACAUUUAAAUCACUAGCAUUUUGCCCUACGCAGCAGGUUUUUUCCUUGGGAGAGGCAGAUGGAGUGUCACUCUCACAUUCAGCCUUCAGUGCAGGCAGCGAAUGUAAUGAAGAUAAGAAAACUUAUCAGGUACAAAAUACCAGGUCAAUUCCUCCAUCCAUGGUCAAGUCAGUGGUCUUGUGAAUGGUUGACCUGGCAUUGCACAGCAGCACCUUAAGGUCAUGUGGGUCAUCUUUGUUGAUACCAGUAUCCUUCUGGUCAGGACCAGACCGGGGUGAUCUUCAAACAACGACUGAACCUGCCUCCUCGGUAAUGACAUGAUCUGAUCCUAGCAUAACUCUUCCUCCUCCUACCCACGAUCACUGAGAUCUGGUGUCCCAGUGCAUCCCCCCUAGUGGAACCUGCCCCAGCCAUUCUGUUAUAACUUAACAAAUAGACAAAGGUAAACUAAAAACACAAGUUAAAACAGCUAAUUCUCAAGUUAAAACACCUUUCUAUUUUAAUCUACAGACUGAACGCUCAAUCCAUCUCCUACAGCUACCACUGGCAAAUCAAUGGAAACAGAAGAGAAGCAGCUAUCAGCUAAGCAGUAGGACAGAUGUGGAGAACCUUUGGCCUUCCAGACGUUGUGAACUACAACUCCCAUCAUCCCUGGCCAUUGGUCAUGCUUGCUAGGGCUGAUGGGAGCUGUGGUCCAGCUGCAUGUGGAGGGCGGAAGGUUACCCAUGCCUGCUUGAGGAGAACCAUCCCCAUGGCAAGAGCUGUUGGGCAGGUGGUGGGAUUUCCUUCACUGCAGGUAUUUAAGGAGGCUGGAUGACCUCCUGUCUGUGAUGUUGUAGCUCAAGACAGCACCCUACAGAUGCAGUUGGACCACAGCUCCCAUCAGUCCCAGCCAGGAAGGCCAGUGGUAUGGGAUGAUGGGAAUUGUAAUCCAAGAACAUCUGGUGGGCACCAGUUUGGCGACCUCUGCUGUAGCUGUAGCCUGCAUCUCAGACCUUGCACUGAGCACUGAGAUUUGAACUAGAUGACCCCAAUGGUUAUAUGGCAUCUGAUCCUAUUGUAUUUGGUUGAAGGUGGACUCUUAACGAUUUGGCACAAAUCUGUGACCAGAGAAGCUGAGAUUGCUUCUGAAGGCAUGGAAUUGCAACAGGAUACUCCAGUGCUUAUGAAGAAACAUGAAGAAGCUCCUGAUACAAAUCAAAUGAGGAUGAACUAUGACCUGAUUAAGUCCCAGUCCAAGUAUCCCUGCUUGCAGCCCAGUCCUAUCUGUAUUAUUUGGGAGCAAGCCCCAACCCGAGUCAAUAGGGAUUACUCUCAAGUGCAUGGGGCUAGCACUGCCCCCUUAGCUUUGGUGGUAGAUCGGUUGUAAAUCGCCUCCACUCCUUAUCCUUUUACCACCCGAAAAGUCUUAGAGGUGUUUCAGCCUCACGGCAACCUUGUGAAGUAGGUUAGGUUUGGGAGGGGGACUUGCCCAAAGGCAACUAAAUGAUAUUCAGAACUGAAGAGGGCUUUGAGGAUCAGUUUACUACAGCCCACAUCCAUUGUAACCGUGAUCCACCGAUUUUAAUUCAAGCGUUUAUUCCGUCCUUAAAAAAUAGAGGUACGACCCAAACAAAUGAAAAAGGAGGGAUUUAUGUGUCAACAGUUGCAUGUACAUGUAAUAUGUUCACAAAUGCCUUGCGGAUUGGGCCUACACGCAAGCUCAUUGGUUUAGUCAGGCGCUUGUCCAAAACACAGGUCUUUGAAAAGCAUUUUUUUAAGGAUAAUGCUCACUCGGUUCAAUGCUAAAGUACUUUUUUAAAAGCCCAUUGAUUUCAGUGGAUGAGUUAGGGCAAUUGCUUAACAGCAUUUGCUAUCCUAACAGCCUCAUACUUGGAAGUAAACCUCACUGAGCUCAGUAAGACUUGCUUCCGAGUAGACACGUAAAGGAUAACUCUGUAACGAAAGAGCUUAGACUUUGUUCUGAUUAUGACCAUUUUUUCUUUUUACAAGAAUAACUUUGGGGUAUUUUUUUUUUUAGAGGAUCGUUUGCAUGCUUUCAACCUUAAAAAAAUAAAUGCGAGUGAAAUUAUCUCUCUCUCACACACACAGAGGCAUCCGUAUAAUUCCGAUGAUGAUUUGAAUUUGAAAGGGAGAGAGCGACUCUUUUGAAAACGAGAAGGUCCCAUCUGGAAAAGCUCGACGUUCAAUUAGAUCGCAUCACUUCAGGGUGUCCUCGUCUCCCGUCCCCCCCACCCCGCCGCCGCCGUCCCCCGUCUCGUCUCCUGAAUAACCUUCCAGGCAAAGCGACACAAAAACGGGCAGGCGAGCGCCGAAGCAUCCAUGGAAAAGAGAGAGAGAAAGAGAGAAAAGAGGAAAUAUAAGGGAAAGGAAGGCGCCUGGGAGCAGAAAAAACCAUUGGGAAAAGAACCUCAGUCGCCAGCCCCGUUUCUCUCCUUUUUUUAAAAAAAAGAACCACAUUUAGAUGCGAGCGACUCUUAUUUCUACAAAGAACAGAUGAGAUUCCAAGGCGCUUUUGUUGUGUUUCACGCGAGGGAGAGAGAAGGGCGACGAAGAUUCGGAGCAGCCGGUAACGUUGCGAGCUGGGGUUGACUCGGCGCUUUGGUGAGAGGGUGGGUGUUUGGAGAUCCUCCCACUAUCUUCUGCCACCCCUCCCCCACUUCCAAUGACCUAAGGCAUCCUUUACUGAAGGGCCCAGCCUUUUUCUGCAAGACUAGGCACUUCGGAAUCGACACCGAGGAAAUAAUGGGAGCCCCGACGACGCAGCUGGGACUCGCGGGCAGCUCUCUCCGAAGGGAGAUAGCCUUUCCUUUCCAGUAGCCUGCAAGAAAGCAGGGGAAAAUAUAUGCCUUUGUAAGAAAAGCCACCGCGGCUCUCCUGCCCUGGUUCUCUAAUGCUGUGGGUGGUUUUCUUUCUGUUGAGAGACUGUUCAGUCUGUAGGCAUGUGAGGACGGUAGAGAGAGAAAGAAUCAACGGGGGGAGGGGGAGGAGAGGAGAUGUUGAGAAACGAUCUGUUAAAAAAAAAGGAAAAAAGGAAGAGGGACAGGUUUAACCCAUUGGGCGGCAGCAGGAACCGACUCCGGAGCGUUCCCAGUUGCUUGAUUUUGUUUCUGGAGAGGACCUCUUCCUCCUGACUCCUAGGAUGGGUCCCAGAAGCUUAUUUGAGGUGACAGUCUUUCUAGGGAGGCACGGACUUUUUGGCGAAGGGGCAGCCUAACCCCUAACCAAGUUUAUUGGGAGGGGAAUCGCGCCGGAUUCAGUGGGGCUCAACAAAGUGCGUGUCUGCGCGGAAACAACCCCAUGGAAUCCAAGGAGACUUCCUUCCCAAGUUCAAGGUGUCUCUGAUUAGAGGUUUAGCCCCUUCCAAUGCUCCUGCGGACACUUGAGAUUGGGGGUCCCACUGAGGCCAGCGGAACCUCCUCCUGAGUAUCGACGUUCCUCGGAUCCGGCCUUAUCGCGACCUCAAACGAAACACAUUUUUGGCGCAGCGAAUUCUGAACGCGUUUGAUCAAAAGUGAAUUUCCACUUAUGAGAGUUAUUUCCCACCGAGGCUGCAGUCCUAUAAACACUUACCUGGAAGUAAGCUGAAGUAAGCGUAAUAGGUCUUACUCCCAAGUAGACGCAUAGGAUUGCUCUGUCAGUGUGUAAAGGGAAGAAGAAGCUUCGAAGUAAGAACGGGUCAUUGCUCCCUGGCUCUGCACACAUUUACUGCGGAGUAAGGCAUGUCACUUCAAUAGGCUUUCCUGCCAAACGUACUUUUCCUGAAGAACAUUGGCUUUUCGAAGCCCUCAAAGGAGAAGAGAUAAGGUUCCAAUCUUGAUUCACGACCUGGGAAUUUAAAACCUCAGAAACCGAUUUAAAUGCCAUCUGUUUGCAAUUCUUGGGAUGAAUGGCGUAUUUUUUCCCCCUUUUCGAUCGGCUGAGGCUUAAGACCUCAACACGCUUUCUGACGAGGAAGCCCUAUUGGACACGGUGGGGUUCCUUUCUGAGUAAACGUGGCGUAGGAUCGGGCUGCCGGGAAGGGAUUCGUUUUGAGUAGUCGAUUAACCCCGAACCUCUUCCCGCCUGCGCCGCGCAAUCCCGUUUAAAACUCUUUGGCAAAACCCCCUCUCUCAAGCGCACGGUGAUAAUAAGGGAGCAUCUAUCUUGCCUGAUGACCACCUACUGCUUUAUGGUCGCUUUGUUCCAACUAUUACAAUCAAGAGAAUUCUUUAUUUACUGUUAACAUUCACUUAAAGCGGGAUGUUAAUGAUGCUUUGGAAUUCACCAAAGAGAGUUUUCUGACGAUUCUCUCUCUCCCCCUGCCCGCACUUUCUCUUUUGUUUAUUUCAGGAAAACUUGGCUCGGAGGAGGAGGGGUGGCUGUGGGAACCCUGCCUGAUAGAGAAAAUCGGAGCUGAACUUGGAUCUCGAGUUAGGUAUUUGCUCAGGGUUUGGAUUCCCAUUGAAAAGGGCUCACUCGCUGCUGAAGAUGGUAACCGUCACUCAGCAAACAACGCCAGGAAGUGAUAGAACAGGCAUAGACAAACAGACAGACGCGCACGCACGCCAAAAUCUUCUCUUUUCCAUUGUCUCCGCCACUGUCGACAUCUAGGACGCGAUCCUGUGCAAGUUAAACAUUUUAAGGAGACGUGGAUUUCGCUGCGUUCUUUUGAACAUCGGUGGGAUGUUCAAGCGCGCCCAUUUAGCUUGUAAGCUCCGCGGGGCAGGGAACAGCGGCUGUUUACACCCAGUGGCUACAACCAUUAAUCGGCAGAUUAUUCGAUAGAAGCGUUUCCAGAUUAAUUUUGGCAGGACGGUCCAGUUUUUCAAACGUGGGUAGGUUGUUUUGAUUCAGG